rnacentral:rRNA from 1 species
AUUGAACGCUGGCGGCAUGCUUUACACAUGCAUGUCGAACGGCAGCACGGGUGCUUGCACCUGGUGGCGAGUGGCGGACGGGUGAGUAAUGCAUCGGAACGUGUCCUUAAGUGGGGGAUAACGCAUCGAAAGAUGUGCUAAUACCGCAAAAUCUCUGAGGAGAAAAGCAGGGGAUCGCAAGACCUUGCGCUUUUGGAGCGGCCGAUGCCUGAUUAGCUAGUUGGUGAGGUAAUGGCUCACCAAGGCGUCGAUCAGUAGUUGGUCUGAGAGGACGACCAGCCACACUGGGACUGAGACACGGCCCAG